rnacentral:lncRNA from 1 species
UAUACAAUUAGGUCAUCUGUUCCAAAAAAAUAGCUUAACUUUCUCAUAAGGUACCACUAACUUAUCAAAAUUAUCAUUUUAAAAAUGAUGGUUUGACAUUUAAUGUUGAAAUCAUUAAAUAUAAUUCACAUUAAUUUAAAAUUAUUAAAUAUAAUUUAUAUUUAUUUACAUAAUUUUUUUAAAAUUUAUCAUAAAUAUUACAUCAAUUAUUAAUUAUUCGUCUCUCAAUCUUAUAUAAAAAGUAAUUAAAAGAUCAAAUACAUAAUAAAAAUACAUAACUCUACUACAUACUCUAAACUUUCCUCCAUUGAAGCUUCCUUCCAUUAAAGCUUCCUCCACAUCUCUCGUCACCUUCGAUUUCUUACUUUUACCUUAUCUUUGAUACAAUACUGACCUGAGAGUAAGAGCGCUUCUCAGGGCAACAAGUUCGACAUUCCCUAAUAAUAUUUUUUGGCUACAUAUUUAAGAUAUCCUUCACUUUUAACUUCAUCCCUUUUCUUGCAGUUAAAACACUUAAAAACAAUUAUAAUAAAAAUAAUAUAUUUUAUUAUUUUUAAAUAUGUUCUUAUAAAAUAUGCGAUAAAUUUUUAAUUUCGUUCAUAAUAAAAUUUUAAAUUUAUUGUAAAAAU